GCGCGCGGAGAAUUUAACGGGGCUAAACCUGACACCGAAGCUUAGGCAAUGUAGUAAUACAUUGGGUAGGGGAGCGUUGUAUACGCGGUGAAACAGUAGCGCAAGCGGCUGUGGAGUGUAUAGAAGUGAGAAUGCCGGAAUGAGUAGCGCGAAUGCAGUGAGAAUCUGCAUGGCCGAAAGCCUCAGGUUUCUGGAGGAAGGUUCGUCCGCUCCAGGUUAGUCGGGAGCUAAGGUGAGGCCUAACGGCGUAGCCGAUGCACAGACGGUAGAGAUUCCGUCACCACCAAAAGAGUUAAGCACAGGGACACAUUUGAAGUCUCGGAGCCGGGUGUUGGUUCCGGUAGCGAUCGAGGGAAAUUAGUACCGAAGUCCGGGAUGGAAGAUGGCGAGAAAAGCUGUGUGUAUUUCUGCGGUGCCCGUACCGCAAACCGACACAGGUAGGUAGGAAGAAGAUUCUAAGGCCAACGGGAGAAGGGUUGUUAAGGAACUCGGCAAAUUGACCCCGUAACUUCGGGAGAAGGGGUGCUCCAGAGAUGGAGCCGCAGAGAAUCGGCCCAAGCAACUGUUUACCAAAAACACAGGUUUGUGCUAAAUCGAAAGAUGACGUAUACGAGCUGACGCCUGCCCGGUGCUGGAAGGUUAAGAGGAGAUGUGCAAGCAUUGAAUCGAAGCCCCAGUGAACGGCGGCCGUAACUAUAACGGUCCUAAGGUAGCGAAAUUCCUUGUCAGGUAAGUUCUGACCCGCAUGAAAGGCGUAAUGAUUUGGGCACUGUCUCGACAGCCCGCCCGGCGAAAUUGUAGUACCGGUGAAGAUGCCGGUUACCCGCGACAAGACGGAAAGACCCCAUGGAGCUUUACUGUAGCCUAAUAUUGGGUUUUGAUGUUGCAUGCACAGGAUAGAUGGGACAGGGAAGUGAUCGCUUUGGCGGUCAUGGAGUGGCCGUUGGGAUACCAUCCUUGCGAUAUUGGAAUUCUAACCUGCGCCUUUGAAUCAAGGCGGGGGACAUUGUUAGGUGGGCAGUUUGACUGGGGCGGUCGCCUCCUAAAGAGUAACGGAGGCGUUCAAAGGUUCGCUCAGCUUGAACGGAAAUCAAGCAAAAGAGUGCAAACGCAGAAGCGAGCCUAACUGCGAGACUGACGGGUCGAGCAGUAACGAAAGUUGGAGUUAGUGAUCCGGUGGUAUGUGAGUGGAAAUGCCAUCGCUCAACGGAUAAAAGUUACCCUGGGGAUAACAGGCUGAUCUCCCCCAAGAGUCCACAUCGACGGGGAGGUUUGGCACCUCGAUGUCGGCUCAUCGCAUCCUGGGGCUGUAUUCGGUCCCAAGGGUUUGGCUGUUCGCCAAUUAAAGCGGUACGCGAGCUGGGUUCAGAACGUCGUGAGACAGUUCGGUCCCUAUCUGUCGUGGGCGCAGGAUAUUUGAUGGGAGCUGUUCCUAGUACGAGAGGACCGGAGCGGACGUACCUCUGGCGCACCAGUUGUUCUGCCAAGAGCAUAGCUGGGCAACUAUGUACGGAUCGGAUAAACGCUGAAAGCAUCUAAGCGUGAAGCCGACCCAAAGAUAAGAUAUCCCACUGAUUCGAUCAGGUAAGAUCCCUUGAAGACUACAAGGUUGAUAGGCACAAUGUGUAAGUGGAGUGGUCCAUUCAGCAAGCGUGUACUAAUAGAUCGAGGGCUUGAUC
rnacentral:rRNA from 1 species